GGAAAGGUGGCAGAGUGGUCGAAUGCGCCGGACUCGAAAUCCGGUGUCCGGGUUCUCCCGGACCGAGGGUUCGAAUCCCUCCCUUUCCGCCA
rnacentral:tRNA from 1 species